rnacentral:piRNA from 1 species
UCUGAAUCAGAAGGGGAGCCCUAAGGGCC